CCCUUAGAUGUUCUGGGCCGCACGCGCGCUACACUGAUGCAUUCAACGAGCCUAUCCUUGACCGACAGGUCCGGGUAAUCUUUGAAUCUGCAUCGUGACGGGGAUAGAUUAUUGCAAUUAUUAAUCUUCAACGAGGAAUGCCUAGUAGGCGCAAGUCAUCAGCUUGCGUCGAUUACGUCCCUGCCCUUUGUACACACCGCCCGUCGCUACUAUCGAUUGAGCGGUUCAGUGAGGGCCUCGGAUUGGUCUCGGUCUGGCGUGCAAGCGCCGGCACCGAUGGUCGAGAAGAAGCUCGAACUCGAUCGCUUGGAGAAAGUAAAAGUCGUAACA
rnacentral:rRNA from 1 species